AGUGAACGCUGGCGGUAGGCCUAACACAUGCAAGUCGAACGGCAGCACAGUAAGAGCUUGCUCUUACGGGUGGCGAGUGGCGGACGGGUGAGGAAUACAUCGGAAUCUACUUUUUCGUGGGGGAUAACGUAGGGAAACUUACGCUAAUACCGCAUACGACCUACGGGUGAAAGCAGGGGAUCUUCGGACCUUGCGCGAUUGAAUGAGCCGAUGUCGGAUUAGCUCGUUGGCGGGGUAAAGGCCCACCAAGGCGACGAUCCGUAGCUGGUCUGAGAGGCUGAUCAGCCACACUGGAACUGAGACACGGUCCAGACUCCUACGGGAGGCAGCAGUGGGGAAUAUUGGACAAUGGGCGAAAGCCUGAUACAGCCAUACCGCGUGGGUGAAGAAGGACUUCGGGUUGUAAAGCCCUUUUGUUGGGAAAGAAAAGCAGCAGGUUAAGACCCCGCUGUUCUGACGGUACCCAAAGAAUAAGCACCGGCUAACUUCGUG
rnacentral:rRNA from 1 species